rnacentral:rRNA from 1 species
UACGUAGGGUGCAAGCGUUGUCCGGAAUUAUUGGGCGUAAAGAGCUCGUAGGCGGUUUGUCGCGUCUGCUGUGAAAAUCCAGGGCUUAACCCUGGGCCUGCAGUGGGUACGGGCAGACUAGAGUGCGGUAGGGGAGAUCGGAAUUCCUGGUGUAGCGGUGAAAUGCGCAGAUAUCAGGAGGAACACCGGUGGCGAAGGCGGAUCUCUGGGCCGUAACUGACGCUGAGGAGCGAAAGCAUGGGGAGCGAACAGG